UACGGGGGGGGCAAGCGUUGUUCGGAAUUACUGGGCGUAAAGGGCUUGUAGGUGGCCAACUAAGUCAGACGUGAAAUCCCUCGGCUUAACCGGGGAACUGCGUCUGAUACUGGAUGGCUAGAGUGUGGGAGAGGGAUGCGGAAUUCCAGGUGUAGCGGUGAAAUGCGUAGAUAUCUGGAGGAACACCGGUGGCGAAGGCGGCAUGCUGGACCUCUUCUGACGCUGAGGCGCGAAAGCCAGGGGAGCAAACGGG
rnacentral:rRNA from 1 species